AUUGAACGCUGGCGGCAGGCCUAACACAUGCAAGUCGAACGAGUGGCGGACGGGUGAGUAAUGUCUGGGAAACUGCCUGAUGGCGGGUGAUAACUACUGGAAACGGUAGCUAAUACCGCAUACCAUCAGCUUUUCCCAAGUGGGAUUAGCUUGUUGGUGGGGUAACGGCUUACCAAGGCGACGUUCCCUAGCUGGUCUUAGAGGAUGACCAUGCACACUGGAACUGAGACACGGGCCAGACUCCUACGGGAGGCAGCAGUGGGGAAUAUGGCACAAUGGGCGCAAGCCUGAUGCAGCCAGGCCGCGUGUAUGAAGAAGGCCUUCGGGGUGGAAAGUACUUUCAGCGGGGAGGCGUUACCCGCAGAAGAAGCACCGGCUAACUCCGUGCCAGCAGCCGCGGUAAUUC
rnacentral:rRNA from 1 species